rnacentral:rRNA from 1 species
UACGUAGGGGGCUAGCGUUGUCCGGAAUCAUUGGGCGUAAAGCGCGUGUAGGCGGUCCGGUAAGUCCGCUGUGAAAGUCGGGGGCUCAACCCUCGAAUGCCGGUGGAUACUGUCGGGCUAGAGUGCGGAAGAGGCGAGUGGAAUUCCUGGUGUAGCGGUGAAAUGCGCAGAUAUCAGGAGGUACACCUAUUGCGAAGGCAGCUCGCUGGGACGUAACUGACGCUGAGACGCGAAAGCGUGGGGAGCAAACAGG